CCUACGGGAGGCAGCAGUGGGGAAUCUUGGACAAUGGGCGCAAGCCUGAUCCAGCCAUGCCGCGUGGAUGAUGAAGGCCUUAGGGUUGUAAAAUCCUUUCACCGGGGACGAUAAUGACGGUACCCGGAGAAGAAGCCCCGGCUAACUUCGUGCCAGCAGCCGCGGUAAUACGAAGGGGGCUAGCGUUGCUCGGAAUUACUGGGCGUAAAGCGCGCGUAGGCGGAUUGAUUAGUCAGAGGUGAAAGCCCAGGGCUCAACCCCUGGAACUGCCUUUGAUACUGUCAGUCUGGAGCAAGGUAGAGGCGAGUGGAAUUCCGAGUGUAGAGGUGAAAUUCGUAGAUAUUCGGAGGAACACCAGUGGCGAAGGCGACUCGCUGGACCUUUGCUGACGCUGAGGCGCGAAAGCGUGGGGAGCAAACAGGAUUAGAUACCCUGGUAGUCCACGCCGUAAACUAUGAGGGCUAGUUGUUUGCCGGCAUGCCGGUAAGUGACGCAGCUAACGCAUUAAGCCCUCCGCCUGGGGAGUACGGUCGCAAGAUUAAAACUCAAAGGAAUUGACGG
rnacentral:rRNA from 1 species